CGAUUGAGAAGAAAUUUAAUAUAUAAUGGAAAGUCACGGCAUGGAAUGUUGAUUGUCCGUCGCCUUUUUAUCCGAUCUGAUUUGUGGUAAAAUCUUUGACAUCAUCAAAAACGGGAUGGCCAAAAGGAGGGAAUGCAUUUUGAUGCACCAUUAAACGCUUGCAAUAGUCUCAGGCAACUGCAGGUCUGCUGCCAAAAAUUUUUAUCCAGCCCGCGUCCACACGUCACUCUUCCAUAAAGUCGGACUUAAUUACGGAUUCAGUCGCGAAUAACCCAUUGUUGCAGCGGGAUCGGGCACUGGAAACGCUGUUUGUCCCACGUUUAUAUUGGUAACUUCUGUUCUCUGGUUUACCAUUUAUUUCAGCCAUUUCGAAGACCUCUGUCGCCAUCUAGGGAAAACCCAGCUCUGAUUUAAAAACAACAUAAAACUGAAUUUCUUUUUCAGUUACCUGGAUUGCUAGAGAAACACAUGAUUUUAGAUUGGAAUUCAAAGCUGACGUCAGAAAAUCAGUUUGUUUUGAGCUGGAUAUAGUAGCAGUUCACGGAAAGAAUAUUCGUGGCCAUUUCGAAAAUCGAAUUUAAAAUCUAUUUUACAGGAUCAGCUCAGUACCGCACAACUUUCGUGACGUGCAUUUGUAUAAUUUCAGUUGUUUUUGUUGCAUCCGUGACUCAAAGGAUUCACAUUCAAUUUUAUAAUGCGUUUUUAUUUUUAGAACAGUAAAGUAAUCCAGCAAUCUAUGGUAGGAUAAAAUGUUUCACUUCUGUUCUACCAGAUGGCAGCAUUUUGGAAGCAGACUCCAUACUGUUUUGCACUUGCAUCAUACAUGUGCGUUUGCAAAUAUCUGGUAGGUUCUUCGUUUAUUUGGUUUAAGAGAUCCGGUUGCGUUUCUGUUUGGAAUUCACGAAUCGCGAGAAAAUUAAGAAGAACAAUUUUUCCUGGAAUUGGUCUGAUGGAAUUCUGUGACCAAACGAAGAAAAUGUGAUGUUUAUUUUCAUAAAUUUAAACAGAUGUAAGCUGACAAAAACCAAUAAUGUUGAUAGCUUAUUUUCUAAGGAGAAAAAAUAAGCCAUGUAAAAAGUAUUGAUGAAUUAAUAUGGAAGGAAGGACCUUAC